rnacentral:tRNA from 1 species
CUAUCGAACCGUUUUAGAAACAUCAGUGGCCAACGGUCGUCAGGAUCGUUGAGCUGCAUUGGCGGGAUUUCGCCGUCUUCGUUUCUCUUUCUUCGCGGACGAACACGCGCUGGGGCUGCAACCUUGCAGAAUCCCUGGUCCUUGACUGGAUAUGCGUUAGGGGCUUGUAGCUCAGUUGGUUAGAGCGCGCGCUUGAUAAGCGUGAGGUCGGAAGUUCAAGUCUUCCCAGGCCCACCACACUCAUCGAGUGAGCAUUCGUCUUCUGGUUACGGGGCCAUAGCUCAGCUGGGAGAGCGCGUGCUUUGCAAGCAUGAGGUGUCGGUUCGAUCCCGUCUGGCUCCACCAGAUGGUUUGAUCACCGGCUGCUCAUACCGUCGUCCGCGAAACAUCACUUCGCACUUACUAGUCCGGAUGAACAGUAAGCUGCGUGAUUUCUGACAUCGUAAAGAGGAGAUCGAUCCGAGUUGGAUCGGGCAACAAGUAAUUUGUUGCGCGAUACUUCAUUAUCUCCGGAUCAUUUCGGCGCUCGUGCGUCUUCCAUUUGUAGCUCACAAGGCUGCUUUGAAAGACAAGCGAGUUGUAAAUGAUCCUUUUAGCGAAGCUUGACCGCCUCGCUAUCGGAACGAUCUUACGAAGCAAGCUGGUCUUUCUAAUCAUUGUCCGGCUGCAGAUAGCGUUCAUCGAGGGCGCGUGCCGCAAGGUAGUUCUGCAGACAACAUUCUGCCGAGUGUGUGGACAUUGAUAAUGAGA